GACGAACGCUGGCGGCGUGCUUAAUACAUGCAAGUAGAACGCACAGGAUGCACCGUAGUUUACUACACCGUAUUCUGUGAGUUGCGAACGGGUGAGUAACGCGUAGGUAACCUGCCUGGUAGCGGGGGAUAACUAUUGGAAACGAUAGCUAAUACCGCAUAAGAACAUUUACUGCAUGGUAGAUGUUUAAAAGGUGCAAAAGCAUCACUACCAGAUGGACCUGCGUUGUAUUAGCUAGUUGGUGAGGUAACGGCUCACCAAGGCAACGAUACAUAGCCGACCUGAGAGGGUGAUCGGCCACACUGGGACUGAGACACGGCCCAGACUCCUACGGGAGGCAGCAGUAGGGAAUCUUCGGCAAUGGGGGGAACCCUGACCGAGCAACGCCGCGUGAGUGAAGAAGGUUUUCGGAUCGUAAAGCUCUGUUGUUAAGGAAGAACGUGUGUGAGAGUGGAAAGUUCACACAGUGACGGUACUUAACCAGAAAG
rnacentral:rRNA from 1 species